CAAUAAUAACUCGGUUAGUUUAACACGAAUAUUAAUUAAUAAAAAUUAAUCCAACAACGAUCUAUAUAUGAAACUAGUACCGUUAGAUAGAACUCGAAAAGUUAUGAGAAAUGGACUAUUCGAGCGUGUCAUUCGAACACCAGAGGAAGAAGAUAUCAUUAGAUUAUCACGAAAGGUAGACCGACCUGGGAUGCCCUUAUCCAAAGGUUGGGUGCUGUAGUAAACUCAGCUGGCUUAUCAUCAACACGUGUCGAAGAGAAACUCAUUUUCUCUUUUCUUCUUAUCUUCUUAUUUCUCUUUCUUUGUUUUCUUUCUUCGUCUCUUUCCCCUGUUCUUCUCUGCUCGUGAUUUCUGUGAGAAGAUUGUGUGUUUACGAGAUCAGAAACUUAAGGGAAAUCAACUGGUAUUACUGAUAAAUGAUGGAGAACAUGGUGUGGACGUUGAUCGUGAAGCAGAACAACUAGGGUUUGAAUCACAGAGAAUCAAAUUAGGGUUUGUGGACUCAUCUUCGAAGUUGUUUGGAGUUGAUUAAUAAGUUGAGAUGCUGAUAGUCAUAGAAUGAAAGGGUUGUUGAUUAAUUGAUGUUCGGAGGUUGUUUGGGGAAAAAUUGAUGAAGCUAGGGUUUGUAAGAAGAACUCAGAGGAUGAAUUGAUGAUGAAAUUGACGUUCUAGGAUGAUGAGUUGAAGUGGGUAAUGAGUGAAUUGAGGUUUUGGAGUAUUAUUACAGAUGAAUCUAAGUUUUAGAGGAUGAAAUCGGUGAUGGUGAUUGAAUUUAGCGUUCUUGAUGGAACAGAGUUUUGGGGUUCAUGGGUUUGUAUAUUUAGAUGGUGAUGAGAAAUUAAAAGAGGAAGAUCCCUGAAUCGAAUCAAGCUAAGGAAGAAUCUAAUUCAAUUGCAGUACUUAGAUUAUGUUGAGAUUGAAGUUGAAUGAUGGCUGGUGGUAUUGACCUGAGAUGAGUGAGGUAGAUUAUUGUUCAGCUGCAGUUAUGAGAAUUGUGUUGUAGUAGUGGUAUGAAGUUAAAAGUGAACUGGUGAAUAUGUUAUGGUUGAGUGGAUGUUAUUGUUGGGUGUUGUGUGGAUUGGAGAUAAUAGAGAUUGAGAUUUGGUUAUGUGUUGGUGUUGUUGAACUGGACGGUUAUAACUAAAAUGGAAGAAGGAAGUGUAGAUUUGAACUGGGUUAGAUUGUACUGCAGUUGAGCUGUAUUGCAGGAACUUAGAUUCUGUUACAGGGAAGAGUUGAGUUGUAGUGAAGUCAUGGAAGUUUUGAUGGAGGAAAUAAAAUGAGAUUUCAUGUGACAGAGUUAUAGAAAUGGAGGUUAGAUGUUUAUGUUGAGUUGAACCUCUUCAGUGAAAGCUUGCAACUAUCAUUGCAGGUAAUCAGAGUUGUUAAUUGUUGAUGAAACUACAAAGGGAAUGAGGAAACUGGUGCAAGCCUGGAAUCAGGUUGGUAGUAAAGAUGAAGUUGUUUUGAUUAAAUGGAACGUUUAAUGAUUGUAUGAA